UGUCGACUGUUUAAGCAAAAUUAUAAGUCGCAACGUGUACGUUUUACCAUCGUCAGGAUUCUUGGUACAGAUACAUGUAGAUGUGCAUUGUGAACGAAUCGCUAGUUACCAAAUUAAACGAAGCGUGAAACGAAUCAGAUCUUUGUAUACAAUCUUUGUCAGGAUUACGUAGUCGUACUUUAGCUGUAGAAGUAGCAUUACUAAGAGAAGGAAACGCGUCAUGGCGAUUUUCACAAAAUCAAGAUUAUCGUGGCCACGUUUGCGGAACGAACGCCAGGUUUCUUCGCAGAAUUAAUGUAAAAUUCAUUGGUGAGUCAAUGUCAAGUAACCGUACAUCCACGACUUUCUAGAAGAGCCAUCGUCUCUGCGACGUCUUUUCAAUUCCAUCAAACGAUGGAUUAAGUGAAUAAAUAUGCUACCACGCGUGCGUUGGUGUAUUCUAAACCAGUAGCAAUUUGCUCGGUGAUCUUGUUAUGAUCUGUUUGCUUGCAGGUUCGUGAUGUAAUUUCGCGUUAGAACCAAUUAAACCGUUCGUGGAAUGCUUUGUUCUCGAACGAACACCUUUAUUGGCCUGUUAGGGCGUAAACAAACUGCUUCGAAGAAGAAACAUCAGGCGUAUCUUUUAUUCCUAUGAUUCAAUUAAUUACUGACAAUUUCUAAUCUGAUGUGUAUGUAAAUUGUCAAGGAUGUUACGUUGCUUCACUUGGAAAUAUCUUAAAAGAAUUUGUUCAAGAAAGAUCACUUUUUUCUGAUAUUCUUCAACACAAGGAAAAUAAUUUUUCAAAGUUAUCUGGUAUACGUACAAUUCUCGUUUUUAAGAAAAUUUCUCUACGCUUGCAAAUGAACUCCAAAAAUGUUAGAGGGUCAGAUAAGAUUCAAUUCGCUUACCAAACACAAAUAACACGAAGAUCGUCGAUAUCAGGAUCAGCCUUAUAUUCAUGUUUCUUCAAUUAUUGUUCAGUGUAUGAUCAAGAAUCUUGAUGGAUCGUUCGACGAUGCUCACUGUUCGACGGCUAGUCAGUUACUAAAAGUCUUCUGGUAGAAUGACUCACACUGGCAACGCUAAAACCAGUUCAGAAUUACAGACCCUGUUGUCCAUACGUCGUAGGCUUUCUCCUCGCAUUGAUCUUUGAUACAUUUACAGCAGGUGGUAGGGAAUUGAUAGAAUGAUCUGGUAACGGUAAAACUAUAGGAAGGUAACAAAAACCAAGCGUCCCUGACUUCUUACUAUUAGGACGUUGCUCUUGAGUUCAUUCAAUUUUUAACAAUUCUUCUACCUAAACGUUAAAACAUAAAUCAAAACUUGUAUGUAACAAUUUGGUUUUGUUCUGUUUCAGAAAAAAUUGAAUUUCCAUGCCCUGAAGUCGUACCGUGACAAAAGGAUUUAAAGGAUCAUUCUACGCUACUGUGGUUUAAUUCUAAGGUUGCUUUGAUUUAUUUUUAUGUGGAUCAUUUUAAAAGAAGUAAGGAAUCAUUAUUUUUUUUUUAACAAAUAGAUGCGCGAGCGCAAUACGUAAUUACAAAGAAUUAACACCACAUUGUAUAAUUGAUUAAUAAUGUUUAUUAUUGUCAACGGUAAUCAUCGUACAGAAAAACAUAUGAUACACUAAAUUCUACCCAUAAUUGUAUACUACAUUUAUGUUACAUAUCUUGUAUACUAGAACAUUGGAAGACCAAGGUCUAUAACUUCAUUUCCAAAAUACAUGAACGAGUGUGUAUAAAUAUUAAACUUGGUCCCGCCCAGCGAAACCGGGCAAAUAUUAUUCGAUCUAGCAUAAAAGCAGAUAGUAUACAAAGACAUCUCUAACUCGGGCAAAGUACCCACAAAUAUUGUUGCGUUUGGUCUGAUGAUUCCAUCCAUUUGAAAGUUUAAUUUCAAUAGUGAAGAGGUCUAAAAGAAAGCAAAUACGUUAAGUACAACAUUUUGAUAGUAUCUUUAUGAGUGCCGAGUCACUUACAUUUCCGAGAUCUAAUUUAUCUAUGUAGCCCAUGUAAUCUAUACGUCCCAAGGAUUCUUGAUUUUCAAAAUACAGCCAAUCCUGCGCACCAAUGAUCGCUGUGCCAUAAUUUUCCGAGGCGAACACGCGUUCGAAUCCACAGGUACUUCCGCUAAACAUAGUGAACCAUAUUCGACGAAGUACGUCUUUCCUUUCGAAGUCGUCGGGGUCGAUAAAUCCGUAAUCAGCCAACCAAUCCAUUGCCGUUGACAUUACGUUCGUAUUUAGGAAAGUAUCGAUCAAUAGGUUUUCCUGUUUCCGCGUCUCAAUAGUACGGUUUAGCUUUUUGAGAUAAUCAUGCUGAUAACUGUCGUACAAGGACCUUGUUAGAUAGAUCGUUGGAUGCUCCAACAACUCCGGUUCUACAUAGAAUAAUCUGAGAAAAGAAAAAUGGUAAAUGAAAAUGAUCACUUUGAAAAUGAUUAAUAAGUGAUUAGAUACUUACCGUCCGAAGGCUUGAUCAGUUAUAUUAGAAGAAUUAGAAAUGCUAACACGAUUCUGAAGAUUUAAUUUUAUGUACUUUGAUAUGUUUAAUGAACUUUUUGCAAAAAGUUCUUCUGUUAUAUGAUACAAUUCUUUAUCAGAAAUUCUGUAAAAGAAUGUGUUAUCAACGCCGUUGGAAUUUCCAUAUGAAUUGGUUUGAUUAUUUGAUGUAUUAGAUCCAGUUGCGGUAUUAUUUACGAUUCCACCAACUCCACUGUUAGUUCCGCUUGAACUCGGUACUCCACUGUUAACAAUAUUUGGAAUGUAUGUAUUUGCGUUUCCUAACGUUGGACCAUUGUUAGCUCCUACAUUUGGAUUAAUUGUGCCACUUGGACUAUUACUAGCUCCUACAUUUGGAUUAAUUAUGCCACUUGGACUAUUACUAGCUCCUACAUUUGGAGUAAAUGUCCCACUUGGAUAUGGAUUGCUGUUAGGAACACUUUCUGGCGGUACAUUUAUUGGAUUCGUUGCUCCAUUAACCCCAGGUGGAGUAUUAAAGUACUGAUUGUUGUAUGUAACAUGAGUUGUAGCUGGUGAACCAGUGUCUGGUCUGCUUUCAACAUAAUUAUGGGUAUGAGGAUUGAUCAAUCUGUUUACUCCUGCAUUGAUAGUUGAAAACACAAGUGCUUCCUUAACCAUCUGACCAAAACCUCGACCGGAAUCUUGCUGUCCUGGCAUCAUUAAAAUAGUCUGACCAGGUACAAAUGGCUGCGAUGCUGGUUGUGCAAAAACAUGGGGUUGUUGCGGAUAGUAAGUUUGUCCAGGAGAAUGCAUCGAGUAAGGAUUUGCCAUCGGCACUGAGUUUGAUGGAUGGAUUGGAAAAGAGGAGGAAGGUGGUGUCUGAAAAGUACCUGAUGAAUGAGGAGGAUAAGGAUAAGGAGCACCUCCACCAGAAUAAGGAGGGUGUGCACUAGGGUAAGGAGGGUGUGCACUAGGGUAAGGAGAGUGUCCAUUAGGAUAAGGAGGGUGUCCACUAGGAUAAGAAGAAUGUCCUCCAGUGGGAUAAGGAGGAUGUCCGAUAGGAUAAGGAGGAUGACCAACUUGAGAAUUACCAGACGUUGGAGAACUCUGUGGAUAAACAUGAUCUUUAAAUCCAAUUGGAGGUGGUUGAGCAGCUGGUACAGUUGGUUUGUUGACACCUGAAUUAUAAUUAGGCGAAGGGUGUAUUUGACCUGAUAUACUUGGUUUAUUAUCAUGUAAGUAAGGAUUACUCCAAGGAGGAUUUGCUGCACUUGUUGGAUGGCCUGUAAAGAGAGAUAUUGUUAUUUAUAAUAUAUGUUAAAGUAACUAAUAAUUGCAAUAAAUCAUAACAUUUAUUCACAUUAAGUAUACCUUGAGUUUGUAGUGUGCCUGCAGAAGAUUUCAUAACAUGAUCUUGAGGUGCAGAAGGUUGAAUAGAUGAAGUUUGCCUGCUUUCAGUUACAAGCCCUGGCUUCAUAUUUGGUACAUGACCGUAACCACUUGAUGGAGAAGGUGGGUAUAAGUUUCCAUGCGAUGGUUGAGAAGGUUUUGUUUGAACUUAAUCAUGAAAUAUAUAUUUUUUAAUUUAUGUAAAUUUAAUAUUGUAUACUGUGCAUUAAAGACAGACAAAUUAACAUGUACCUGGCCGCGUAGCACCUCCACCUUCAGCAGUUAUGAAAUGUGUAUUGAGAUCUUUGUUUUGUUGAGGUGUUAUUUUUCCUAAAAUUACAAAUACAUAUGUUAAUGUCGACGUUAUUCUUUUUCAGUUAGUGGUAUAACUAAAUUAGACAAGUUACCAGAUGAAUGUGCUACUGAAGAUGAUGUUCCUACAUGCGGCGUUCCAUGGGAUGUUCCAUGUGAUAUCCCUCCAUAUGAGGUUCCAGGUGAGAUCCCUCCACGUGAUGUUCCUCCGUGUGGUGUUCCGUGUGAUGUUCCGUGUGAUACACUUCCAUAUGAUGUUCCAGAUGAUGCACUAUAUGAUCCACUAGAUGAUGUCCUACUGUAACCACCCCUUCUAGAACCACCACCACUACUAACUCUUCCCCUGCCCGAUAUUUUGGCACUGUCACCUAAAAAGAAAAGGUAUUUUUAUGCAAUAGUAGUUCACCUUUACAUUUUAUAAAACAGUAAAUUUAAUAAGAAAAAGUUGUACAAAAUAGCAUCUGAUUUAUAUAUACUUACCAAUUAUGAAGAAUGCAAAAAAAAGUAAAAGCAAAAAUACUUUAAACUUCAUCAUUUCUGCGAGUAUUUUGCGUACUAUACUAUGGUCAGUAGUAAACUGAUAUUACCAGAACAUAUGAAUAACAGAUACGUAUAUUUCAUGCUUACGUUUAUCAAACUUCUUUUUCGUAGAAAAUGCAUCACAUCUUGCAACAUUAUCUGUACUAUGGUUUUCCUCGAAAUCGUAAUGUGUAUAGAAUAAGGGGUCAUUGAAGAUGACCUCCAAAUGAUAUCAGCCUUUCUAGCAAUAAUGAGAUAAUUUCUUGAAAGCUCUUUAUUCUGUCUUAAUUAAAACUACUAGAAUAUACAUAUUUUCAAAAAGGAUAUUAAACUAUAAAACAACAUAUUAUAUAAACAUAUUUUAUUCACUUUAAAAUUAGUAAAUCGUUAACAAAUAUUUUAAAAGUUAUUACAAAUUGGUAAAUAGUUAUUCUUUAUUCAUAAACAUUUAUAACAGAAACCACUACCACCAGAAACUUUUUUAUAACAGCAGAGUACUGUUAACACAGCCUUUCUAAGUUGUGAAAAUACUGAAUUUUGCAAUAUUCAUUGCGUUUUCAACAAAAAUGAUGAAUUUAGCCUUCUUUUGCAAUAUAUCGGUCCAAAAUUUUUUCACUCGGAUAAUCUGGUACUGACAAUUGACGAAAUCCCUCAUCAUCCACAAAGCAAAUUUCAUGACCAUCCUAAAAUAUUCAUUCAUAGUCAUUCGUAUUUUCAGUAAAUUUAAUACUAAAAUAUCCUAAAGUUACAUACUGGAUCAGCAAGAAUAAUAACUGUCACAGAAGCCUUUCCUGGAGUAUCUAGAGUAAUUAAAUCUGUUAGAAUUUUAUUCCCACUCUCCUUGAUUCUUUUUUGAAUUUCUGGUUGUUCAACACAGGGAACUGAAAAUGCUAUACGUCCAUAAGCUUUUGCAUGAUUUACUUCAGUCCCUAAUUAAACAAAACAGAAAGUUUUAUGGAUAUGAAUACUCUCAUAAUCAAUAUAUUCAUUAUAAGUGACCAGUAACAAUGGCCUACCAAUAUCUUCAAAUUCAACUUUAGUUUGAUCUUCACUGUAUCCUAAUAAUACACUUUUAUCAGUUUGCUUAAAGAUAUUUAACUCUAAAAUAUCUUUCCAAUAAGCAAUAGUUUUUUGAAGAUUUGAACUAGACAAAGUUACUUUUUCCACAGGAUCUGAUGAAAAAAUAUAUAUUAAUAUGAAUAACAUUUUCAAAUGAUAACAUUUAACAACAAUUUUUUAUUAAUACCUUUAUCCAAGGGCUGUGGUUUAUUAAUGACAUAAUACUUGUAGCCACCAGGUGCUUCCAAUACAAAUUUUCCAUUUUCCUCUUUCAUAGGCCAACUAUUUGAACGAGCUCUUUCAAUUGCUUCGUUAGAAUGUAUAGUUAUUCCACGAAAAUCAUUUCCCAUUUCAUAUUCUUUGAUUCCAUAAUUAUAAGUCAAUUCUACUACAAAAUGAGUAUCCUCUGGACCAUAUCCUACCAUAGUUUUGCUCCAUCGAUUAGCAUAUGGUCUACAUAUAAUAUGAUAUGAUAAAUAUAUAUAUGUAUAUUUCGUUUAUCACAAACACAAUUAAAUAAAAAAAAUAUAUGUAUUAGAAACGCGGUAGAUCAAACGCAGUUUUACACACCCAUUACAAGCCGCUUCGCAACCAUCAGCGAAUUCUUCGUGUCGCAAUACCUAGAACAAACAAUUCUGUACAAACAGAUACAAUGUUGAAGACGAUACAAGAUUCAGCCCUUCUCUCAACUCUAGCUAUAACAUCUUCACCAUCAAACCCGAAGGGGGGGCGUCAGGGCCCCAACCGUCGAAAGUGAGGACUCCAGACGACUUUGCACGC